ACUACCACUCCACCGCUUGGGCAAGGGUCUGGCGGAGCCCAUCCCUCAGUCACUCACAUUCGGUGGGCUGGCGGGGCACACCCUCUGGGAGGGUUAUUUGUAUCUUUAAGGGGAGGGAAGGGCCUGCAUAUCCUCCUGCCUGUCCCCAGCACCUGCCCCUCCAGCUGCUCCAGCCCGUCCUCCCCUUGGUGCCGUGUGCCUGCCCAAUCCCCCAGGAGCCUCCGCCUCCAGCCAGCAGGUGAAGCUCUCACACUGCCACCCCGGCCUGCUCGGGCUGACCGCGUGGCCGGGAUAGCCUUGGAAGGCAUUCUACUGGACGCCCCGCCAGGAUGCUGCAGUACUGUCCCGGGUCCGUCCCCAUCACAGCUCACAGGGCUGCUGUGGACGUGGUCAUGUCUGCACUAGGCGAGGUUGUGAAGAGCAAUCUCUUCACAGCAAAGAUGCCUGCCACUUUGCUAUGUAAAGUCACCCCCAGGAAGAACUGACAGCCACCAAGAUGGGGGAAGGAGGGGUGUGAGUAGUGGAUGCUGGAACUGAUGGCACAGAGUGGCCCCCUCAGGUGGAAAGGCUGGCUCCAGAUCCCAGCGUGAGUGCUGGGCAGGGAUUCUGAAACAAAGGACACCAUGCAGGAGGCCUGGCCAGCUCUGCACCCUACAGAGCUCAAUGACCUAUCCCAAGCCAGUGACUGGCAGGGCGGAGGGGGAGUCUAGAAAGGAAAGGCACCCAGGGAGCUCAGGCAGGGCAGAGGAAGGCCAAGGAGACAGGACCAGCACAGGCAGGGGCUUCUGGCUGGACACAAGAUGUACUUGGAUCCUGAGCCGGGGUUCACAUGGGCAGACGGAACCAUGGGAAGAGCUCACUUCCAAGCCCAAGGCGGGCAAUGGGACUGCAUCAAGCCCCCACCGCCACCAGCAGCCAGAAGGGGCAGCAUGGUGGAGACAGGCCUUGUUCAUCACGCUCAUCACGGACGGGGUCCCUGCGAAGUCAAGGCGCUCUCAAUGUGGCCUGAAGGACAAACCCAGCCCUAUGCUGUUGCUGGUUAAAAACACAACUGAAAUGGAAUAACCUUGGGAAUGACUGGCAUGCCCCCUUACCCCCUAGUUCUGGCCCCCGGGAGGUCCUGAGACGAUGUCCCAAGAACGCUAGGUCCAGGGCCAGAGCGCAGCUUCUAAGUGUCACUCUCCACUAAAAGGAUCCAGCGCUCCUGAGAGAAAUGGCUGACUCUAGGGCUGGGCAGGGCAAGGAGAGAAGCCCAGCACAUCCUGGAGGCUGGAGGCAGAAGAAAGAAAUGGCAGAAUAGGCUGGGCGCGGUGGCU